GGAGGCGUCGGAUAGUGGUUUAUUCCACCGCCUUGGAAAGGCGGCAUACCGCAAGGUAUCGUGAGUUCGAAUCUCACCGCCUCCGCCA
rnacentral:tRNA from 2 species